CAGAUGUGAAAGACCCGGGGCGUCAACCUCGGAAUAGCAUUUGAAACUAGGCAGACUAGAGUACUGUAGAGGGGGGUAGGAAUUUCAGGUGUAGCGGUGAAAUGCGUAGAGAUCUGAAGGAAUACCGGUGGCGAAGGCGGCCCCCUCGGACAGAUACUGACACUCAGAUGCGAAAGCGUGGGGAGCAAACAGGAUUAGAUACCCUGGUAG
rnacentral:rRNA from 1 species